AUUGAACGCUGGCAGCAGGCUUAACACAUGCAAGUCGAGCGGGGUGAUGGUGCUUGCACUAUCACUUAGCGGCGGACGGGUGAGUAAUGCUUAGGAAUCUGCCUAUUAGUGGGGGACAACAUCUCGAAAGGGAUGCUAAUACCGCAUACGUCCUACGGGAGAAAGCAGGGGAUCACUUGUGACCUUGCGCUAAUAGAUGAGCCUAAGUCGGAUUAGCUAGUUGGUGGGGUAAAGGCCUACCAAGGCGACGAUCUGUAGCGGGUCUGAGAGGAUGAUCCGCCACACUGGGACUGAGACACGGCCCAGACUCCUACGGGAGGCAGCAGUGGGGAAUAUUGGACAAUGGGGGGAACCCUGAUCCAGCCAUGCCGCGUGUGUGAAGAAGGCCUUAUGGUUGUAAAGCACUUUAAGCGAGGAGGAGGCUCUUUUGGUUAAUACCCAAGAUGAGUGGACGUUACUCGCAGAAUAAGCACCGGCUAACUCCGUGCCAGCCGCCGCAGUAA
rnacentral:rRNA from 1 species